GAUACAAAAUGCAUGCUAGCCGGCCGGUUCGCAAUUCAGCAGGCUGACACCGCACAGAGAAUCUGUCGUCAUUUUGGAUGGCUUAAGUUGUUCAUCGAGUGUGACCAUGGUGUGACAGUGUAAUUCACUAUUUGAUCUUCACUCAUUUUGGCCGAUAUCUAGUAUUGGUGGUAGGAACAUAAUCAAUUGACUGCAAAGGAACAUUUGCACUUCUUAGGCCUACAUUGCAACUGCAGGCCGACCACUGUCAGCUGACUGGAGUGGAUAUCUCGGAUUGAUCACCAUGGGCUGUUGUGGUACACUGUUUGUGGACAUGGUGGCCGAGUUUGACUAUAUAGGCCUCAAGUUUUUUCAUCAACUUUGUGAAGCAACUUACUGCUGCUAAAGUGCUAAUCUUUUUUUUACUACACUCUGUGACACAAAACCUGCCUUAUCCUAAAGCGUAAGGCAACAACAAGCUGAAUCCGUUUUAAUUACCUCUUCUGUUUUUGACAAUGACAUAGAAAUAGCAUCUUUUUGACAUAUGAUUGAAAUAGAAUGAGCUCCAUUUUGAACAAUGUUGAUGGUGUCUCGUUGAUCCAGAUUCCAAGUUAUGACAUUUAAGUAGUAGCAGAACACUUGCAUUUAAUAGGCCUAUAAAUGGCAUCAGUGGAGAAGGAUUUCGGUGGACUGGGACGUCCCUACACAUCACAAACGUUUACUCUGAAGUUGAAGAAAUUUGAGUCGUACAUUGCAGAACUGACCCAACAGGACAGUGAGGCUAGUGCGGAGGAGAGACGCCAAAUUCUAAAUGAGAACCUUCGUUUUGACGUGUUCUGUGAGGCGAUCCGUUCUUUGUUUGGCCCGGAUAUACGCAGUCAAGACUUGAAGGCCAUUUUCAGAAAGAUCAGCACCAACCCUGAUGCUAAGGUGGACUGGAGUGAGCUCUUUGGCUACUUCCAGUCUGAAGAUGAGGAACCAGACCAGAUUCUUAAUGAAGACAUCAGUGUCUUCACAGUAUCUAAGAAGCACCGCAUUGGCGAAGCUGCAGGAGACAAGAAGCGGCGUGAUGUAAUCAGUGCCGUCAACUACAAUCCCAAUGUGGACAUCUACACCUCUGCCUCACAGAAGGGUGCCAUAUCUGUCUGGAACAGCAAAAACCUGAGGCUGCAAGCAUGCUGUGAUUUAAAUGAAACAUCAUGGGUGACAGGUAUUGACUAUUUGCCUAGCCUGAGAAGAGUGACAGCAGCCACCGAACGCAGUAUAUGCAUAUGGGAUCACAGGGCCAAAGGAAAGAACCAGAGUAUCUUUUGCAUCAAGCCGACAGACAACUCCGUUCAGUGCAUGACGUACGUGCCGUACAACACCACAAUUCACGAAGACUGUCUCCUGUUCGGCGAUGACCUUGGUUAUGUCAGCCUGCUGCGAAUAGCGGCUAAAGACCUGAACACAAAACACGCUAAGAUUGACAAGCGCAAUGGGAACUUGGUGAUUGAACCAUCCACAUUGACCUACCCGAUUCAGAAGAGGAAACUUCACGAUGAUUGGGUCUUGAAGGUGAAGUAUCUACCUGACCUUCGAUGCUUUGCCUCAUGCUCUCCAAGUAGCAACACAUCCUUUGUCUUAGAAUCUGUGGACAGAUUAACAGAUACUAUACCCUGCAAGUCACUGAGCAUUCCGAAGGGGGUCAACUGUUUUGCAUUCUGUUCCCAUGCCAACGUCAUCGCAACGGGCGGCAACGACAAGAUGAUCCGCAUCUGGCACCCUCACAUCUUCUCCCGACCCACGGGGAAGAUGAUCGGGCACCUGUUCACAAUCAUCGACAUUGCUGUCAACGAGAAAGAUCAACACGUGAUCAGCUUAUCGACAGCCAGGGUAUUCCGUGUAUGGGACAUCCACACACUGACUAGCCUGCAAGUCUUCACUGAUAACGAGGAGAGACCAGGAGAGAAGCGGAUUCACUGCAUGGUGUAUGAUGAAAGACACGAGCGACUCAUUACAGGGUCCAGUGUGCUGGAUUUAUGGCCACUGACCAGGACAGUACAGGACACAAUGCAAGUUCCCCACACCCAUGACCGACCAGUGGCUCAAGUACUCUUCAAUCAAGAACUGAACCAGGUUGUCACUGUCUGCACUGAGUCUAUCAUCAAGGUGUGGGAGUUGGAGUCCGGCAAGCAGGUUUAUCAUGUGACUGAGUCACAUGGUCCUAACGUGGAGGUCACAGCCAUUGCUGUCGACAGAACAGGGUACAGACUAGCAUCUGGGGCACUCGAUGGCUCCCUGAAGGUCUGGGACUUUGGCAGUGGCCAGGAGAUCAGGUCUUGGAUGCCCAGUCAGGAAGCAGAGAGAGACGAAGACAUCGGUGUCACCAGCCUACUGUACAUUGAAGUCAACGAGAAACGCUGCAUUGUGGCGUCGGGGUGGAACAACAAGCUGAGAUUGCUGGAGGACUCACUAGACGUCGGUGACUUGACACCCUACGCGGAGUUCUCGGAUCUGUUCUAUCUGCCGUUGGACACACCAUCCAAUCACCCACUGAGCAUGAGCAGUCGGAGUUCAAGCCCAUUCAGUCGGACCAGGCCGUUGCCAAGUAUCGGCCACGCAUCGGCGCAAGUCACAAACAUCACCAGAAAGGAUAAUGUCUUAGAGAGUCAUGAGGUGACGUGCAUGACACCCCUCCCACCGGACUGCUUAGCCACUGGCUGCACUAAUGGUAACAUCAUCGUGUGGGAUAACGUCACAGCGGCGGUACAGCAAGUGUUCCGAUUGUACGAAAUGCCACCAAACAGCAAGAAUGAACACAGUGAGAAGACUGCGCACCCGCGACGAGUGAACACAUUACUGCUGAUGGUACACAGGACAAGGAAACCAGACCCAGCCUACAUCAAGAAGCUAACAGGCCAUGUCUCGCCCAGCUUCCCCACCCCCUCCGAUGCUGAUGAACGGGAGAUGGACGCAGACUCAACGGCCGACACCAGGUCACGAACGGUGACCAGCUCCUCACGCAUGGGUACCGGGAUGGCCCCGAUGAUGGACCCAGUGGCAGAAGAGAUGGAAACCGGCCAAGACAAGCAGGACCCACUCGAGGAGGACAAAAUUGAGACUGAUGAACAGAUGGAGGAGGAGGUCGGGCAAGACGAAGGACUGGACAGGCAGCUGACACCGGAGGGCGAUCACAACGUGGACGAGGAGCUGGAGAACAUUGACCCGACGGCUAAGAUGAUAGUCACGACCUAUGACCCCAUCCUGGUGUCGUGUCACUCGGAUGCCUUCAUACGUUUCUGGGACAUGAAGGGUGAGAUGGUGCGUGAGAUCUCUGCCAUGACAAGGCGGCAAGGUUCCCCUGUGACUGCCGUGUGCUGUGACGAGGACGGCAAUGUACUCAUCACAGGAGAUAACAAGGGCUACAUCACCAUGUGGAGUGUGGACAUGUUUCUAGAAAACCCUCAGUCGGAAGACAAUGAAUUGAUCAAACAGCUGAUCAGCUGGCGAGGCCAUCUGAGCAGGAUUGUCACCUUAGUCUAUGCCAAUCAUAUGAAGUCUGUCAUCUCAGGCUCCAUGGAUGGGUCAGUCAGGAUGUGGUACGGGGAGGACCCUGCCAGAGGCCAUUUCAUGGGCUUCUUCAGUCAGCACCGCCCCUGGAACCUCCCGAGUCUUGAGAGGAGCAACACCCCCGUGCUGCCCUAUGACAUCACCGAGGGGCCCCUUAAGCCCAUGAGAAGUACCAACGAGAAGAAGCAUAAGACAACUCAGCAGAGCUACCAGUACCCACUGGUGUUUGCAGACGAUAAAUGGAAGCCUUUCCGGCGCUCAGCCUACGCCCAGACUAGGACCAAACCCAAGGAGCCUGAGGACAUGAAGUUCUUUGAGGCCCUCCAGAAGCCGCAGUUUUACAACGAUCACCUCAAGAGUUGCAAGACUGGGGAGAUGAGCUUGGGCGCUGUGUUCAGGGCACUGCCAGUCUACACGGUCAGCACUCCAGAUCGUAUGAAGACCCCAGCCAUGGAGUAUGGUAAUGCCUCCUGGACGACAGACUCCUUCCUCUUUGCACCACCUCCAUCCAAACCUGUCAAGGCAACCUCACCCACCAAGGACACAGGAAAGAUGAAAUCUCAGCAAAAGCGCAGCGCUGCCAAAGAUUCCACAGUUGCUCUGUCCAGCACCAGCCCGAUGCCAUCUCCUAGGAAGAGGUAGUCCCCAUGCCAGCUCCACGAAAGAGGUAGUCCCCAUGCCAGCUCUAAGGAAGAGGUAGUCCCCAUGCCAGCUCCAAGGAAGAGGUAGUCCCCUUUCCAGCUCCAAGAGAGAGGUAGUCCCCAUGCCAGCUCUAAGGAAGAGGUAGUCCCCAUGCUAGCUCCAAGGAAGAGUUGGUCCCCAUGCUAGAUCCAAGAGAGAGGUAGUCCCCAUGCGAGCUCAAAGGAAGAGGUAGUCCCCAUGCUAGCUCCAAGGAAGAGUUAGACCCCUUGCUAGAUCCAAGAAAGAGGUAGUCCCCAUGCUAGAUCCAAGGAAGAGGUAGUCCCCAUGCUAGCUCCAAGGAAGAGGUAGUCCCCAUGCUAGCUCCAAGGAAGAGUUAGUCCCCAUGCUAGCUCCAAGAGAGAGGUAGUCCCCAUGAGAGCUCAAAGGAAGAGGUAGACCCCAUGCUAGAUCCAAAGAAGAGGUAGUUCCCAUGAUAGCUCCAAGAGAGAGGUAGUCCCCAUGCCAGCUCCAAGACAGAGGUAGUCCCCAUGCCAGCUCGAAGGAAGAGGUAGUCCCCAUGAUAGUUCCAAGGAAGAGGUAUAGUCCCCAUGCUAGCUCCAAGGAAGAGGUAGUGCCUGUGCCAUCUCCUAGGAAGACAUAGUCCCAAUGCCAUGUCCAAGGAAGAUGUUCAAAUCACAUUUAUCAAAAGUAGUCAGUAUUUGUUCAACCAAGAAUCAGGUACUUUAUAAACUAUAUAACUUCAAUAGAAAUUGAAGUUAAUUUUGAGUAUGAAAAUUGCACAGGUUCAGUUUUCAGGUUUUUUUUGGUGGGGUGGGGCUGGGAAGACUGCCAAAUCAUAAUAUGGGACGUUUGGAAUAUUUGGAUAAUGUCGGACAUUUGGAAUCCAAAUUAUACACUUUUGAAUUUUCAUAUCAGGAAUAAACAAUGUGAAUUUUGAAAAAAAAUUAUCUGUAUAUAUUCUUAUCUUCAAAGCACAACUCUCGAUUUAUGUACAGAAACAUAUUUUCUAUGUUUGGCUGAAACUUUCUGUGUCUAGUUUUGAUACCCAUUAACCACUUGUAUUGUAUUUACUAGUGAAAAACUUUUAUAUAUUCCUGUAUUGUUUGAAGUGUGCAUUCAAAGGAAGCAAUUAGCAAGUUUCUUUCUUUUUUUUUACAGACAAUCAUGCAUUGAGAUCUAAAAACUAAAAAAGGAGACGAUAACAUAUAAAGAGAAAAUGAUAAAUCACUAAAUUGCUCAGACUUACU